GUCUGUGGUAAUGCACUGGAGCACAUCUGUUUAACUAACACUAUCACUGCUGCUUCCCUCCCAUUAAAUGUUUAGUCUGCCCAUCAGACUUGAAGGUGUGUGUCAACAGCUCAAGAGUCACUGUACAGAAGGGCGAGGACAUCAGUCUUACCUGCAUCCAUAACCUUUCCAAUCUGACUGUGAAGUUUAAGUGGUACAAGAAUACGGAAGAACUUAAAGGACAAAAUAAAAGUACAUUCAGUGUCAAAAGAGUGCUUUCACAUAAUGCAGGCAAAUACUCCUGUUCUGUGACGAGCCCGUGUGGUUUUUGCAAGUCUUCGCCACAUGAUGUCACUAUACCCGACGAAACUGAGGUCAUCUGGGUCAUCUGGGUCAUCUGCGGUGUUUCAGCUGUGGCCCUGAUCUUGAUUAUGGGGCUGGCUAUGAGGUUCAAGUUGACAAGAGAAAACACUCAACACAGAGAAAGGAUGCAGCAGAGGACGCAGACUGGACAGACCUUUACUCCAAGAGGCUCCUGAAUAAGCAACUAUCGGUCAUAUUUAUAUGUAAUGGAUAUUAACCUUAUUUCCUAAUCCACAGUUGUAGUAUUUAAUACAGAAAUAAAGACUCUUCAAUCUCUGACUUUGAGGCUAAGCGUGUGUGAUAAGAUGUGGUUACAAGCCCAUGAGUGGGCCUUUUCCAGAGCAGGGUGAAUUUGUGAUGUAACUCAGCAGUCACGUUAGCCUGUUCAGUUGAGAAAAAGAGCCUAGAAAUGUUUUAAUCCAGACGCAGGAUAGCCGUGCUCACACUAAUCCUGCUGAAUGCUCUGCUCACAGGAGCGCACACCACACAGAGCAGCUUUACGGUGGCUGCCAUGUAAUGGAUAUAUGGGACGAUAAUGCAAUCCACUCCUCUCGUAGAGGGGGAUGUA